GCCUCAAACCAGUGCUGGGACUCCCAUUGCUGGACCUUGCCUCGUGCACUGGGGACAAAAAUCAGCAGGGAGACAUCCCACCCAGGCAAAGACCAUCCUUGCAGCAGGGAAAUGUUGGGCUGGCUCCCUGAUCACCCCUGGGCUUUUGAAAAUCAGAGCUGAGUGAGGACACCUGCUUGGAGGCACAUCACUAAAUGUUUACAGAGCAGUCACCAGGGGUGAAAAUCUGCUGAAAUUAAGUGUUUAUGGUGUCCCAGGUGCUCAGUGCCUCCCAGCAGCACGCAGAGCACAAACCAACUCCUUUAUGAGCUGGUGCUUUCCCCUCCUCUGCCACACAAAUUCACUGCCACGCUGCUGCAGGUUGUGAAGGAAUGAAAAUGCAUCUUGUGCAGGAUGAUGCCUGCACUGAGGGAACCUCAUUUGCCACAGAACCACCCUUGCUCUUCAUCAACAAAUGUUUUUUUCUUCCACGCCUGAAUGAACCCCAAAGGACUGCUCUUCCACGCUGGAGUUUUCAACAACAAGGGCAUUGAGACGUGGCUACCUCCUCUUCCUUGCCUCCUGCCCUCUGCUGGCUCUCUUUCCUCUUUUCCUCUUUAUCGUAUUUCAAAAUAAUCUCCCCCUCUCUACCCAUAUUGCCCUUCCACAAACGCUGCUUUUCAUCCUUCAGUUUUUGUAUCUGUCUUUCCCCCUUCCCUCUCUGCUCUUUCUGUUCGAAUUUCUAAGUCUUUUUUUUCCUUCCAGUCCCUUUGAAAUUCCUUUUUCUCUUCAUUUUUUCUUCAGUCUCCUGCUCACUCCACCUUGCCUUCUACCUCCCCUUCCUCACCACCGGCCCACUGCUCCAGCCACAGCUCUGCUACCAACUGUUAAAUACACAACAAGAAAGAAAGAAAUAAACAGCUCAAGUUUG